GUUUGUAGUAGAGGUGCGGAUGAUCAAUAGUACCUGUCUGAGUCUGGCAGACGAUGAGGAUGGGGAAAGGGGCAGCCGCCGAAGUGCCAGUCUGCCGGAGGCUGUCGCUGGGCUUGUAUUUAAUAGAUGCAAGACUGUCGCUUGAUGAUUGGCAUCAAGGGGAGCGCUACUUCUUAC
rnacentral:ncRNA from 2 species